CACCGCUCAUCGCUACUACUGAUUGAAUGGUUUAGUGAAGUCGUUGAAUUAAUGUCGUUAUAGUGGCCUUGCCGCUCGAUUGAUUCUGAGAUGACCUAAUUUGAUUAUUCGGAGGAAGUAAAAGUCAUAACAAGAUUUCUGUAGGUGAACCUACGGAAA
rnacentral:ncRNA from 1 species